AGAAUGGAGAAGUUCCUGGAUGGACUCGCUCCGGCAUUAAAAUGCCAGCUGGUUGCUCACACAUUUCGAGACUUCCAAACACUUGUGGACAAGGCCAACAUGCUAGAAAUCGAACGUCACAGCUUGGAUGACAUUCGUAAACGCCGCCGUAACAAUUCGACACUAGCACGCAACAUCAAGCACAAGACUCAGGACACAAAGAAUCAAACUCCUCGCACUCCAACAUCAACCACUAAAGUCAACAACCACUAUUAUGCAAGGAACAAGGAUUUUACUCCCCGCCCCGGUAUCGUGUGUUUUGCCUGUGGAGAGGAUGG
rnacentral:lncRNA from 1 species